CCUAUAGCUCAGGGGAUAGAGCACUGGUCUCCGGAACCAGGUGCGAGGGUUCGAAUCCCUCUAGG
rnacentral:tRNA from 3 species